UUAGGGUUUUAAUUGAAUGACGAAAAUCCGAGCAAUAUGGCGUAUGUCAAUUAUUCGAAUAGUCGAGAGAUAGUGAAGCGGAGGGUUAAUAUUCUCCUUUUCAUUCACAAUUAAGAAUUAAACGUGUGAAGGAGUGCAUUAAUAAAGAAGGAUUUGGAUUUGAAAUCAUUAGCGUUAAUCGAACCUUAAACGAGAAUGCUUGUCAUUGGAUUACUACUAUAUAUUUUUAAAAGAUGAAUUUAUUUCUCUAACAUUUGUAAUUAAAUUCCUAUUUAAACUAAAUAUAAUUCUAUAGCAAAGAUAUGGAUUAUAAGGAAUAAUAAUUGAUAAUCAAACUAGAUAAUACUUCUACAAUUAUUAUUUAAAUCAUGGACAUCUUUAUUCAAUUAAAACAUAAAAAAUAAUUCAUAAAUCAAAUAAGGAUAUUUGGGAAAUAGAAAGGGAGGGAAAGUAUUAAAAUAUCGGACCAGAAAAGGCCCAAAAGAAAACCUAAGGCAUGGUUUAAUUCCGGAUGAGCCAUAAGGCCCAAACCCUUCCUAAUCGGCCAACACAAAACAUCAUGAAGAGGAAAAGAUUGGUGUCUGCAUAAUGCCUACUACCAUUAUUCCAGGGGCCACGUGUAUUGAUGUUGUACACAUGAGAAACUUAAAAGGAAAUGAAAAUAAGAUGCGGAUCCUUAUUAUUCAUUUUAUUAUUACUAUUAAACAAAUUUAGUUAUGGGUAAUGCUGCUGAAUGAAAAGAAAGGACCAAAAGCAAAUGUGACUUUGGUCACUUAUUACUAUCUACUCCUCUCCAACGAUUUCUCCUUUCUUUAUCUCUCUGAAUUUUCAAAAGAAAACACACAUGAAACCUCGAUUUCGUUCAACCAUGGCCAAACCAGAACCUAGAACAUACAUAUUCAAAUAUACAUACUGAUUCUAAAAGAAAGUCAUCAUCAACCUCACGGAUAAGCCAAAACAACUUCUAUAGAUCUACGGUAUCAAUUGAUUCUCAAUUCAAGAAAUCACCCUAAAUCAGCGACGAAACACUCACCAACAUAAUCAACAAGAAUGCAAGCGGAAAAUCAAUUCAACUACAAGGUACUCAAUAGUAUAAAUCAGAAGAUGAAAAUCUCAUCGGAGCUUUAAAGCUCCGGCAAGAUUUCGGCGACCAGGAUUACCUCAAAGUAACGACGCUCUAGGAAGGGGUCCCUGCUUUAGUCAUCAAAUGGUUCUUAUAUAGAGUUCUUGUACGAGGUUCACCCGUCCUUAUCCUUCAUGAGCUGGCAAAUCUUGGAUAGGAUCAAUCCGUUAGAAUAAAAUCUCCUUUAGAUUUUUGGUGUGGUCCCGUACAGAUCUGUUUGUAGUGAAAUGUGCCACUAUUUCGUAUAGAAUUUUACUGUCAUGGAACACCCGUGUAUUGUGGUAAGAACUUUAUUUUCACUGUCCUGUAACUCUGAAUUUCUCGCAGGUUUUGAUAUUCGUAUGCUCAGAGUAUGGCGCGCUUAAGUUGUAACCUUGGAUUGGCAAGUGACUUGUGGGGUUUAGAAUGAAUGAGAAUGGUCCUGGAGAAAUAUCCGCAUGGAUUCAACCUUAAGCAUGCCGUAAUCAAAUGUCAUGCAACAAUCGUCCUUGAUGCUUACUCUGGAUUCAACCUUAAACAGGGGUUUUGGGACUUAUUUAAGGUACGUCAUGAGUGGAAGGUGGGAUCCUGAGCAACAUUUCUUUGUGCAGGCUGCAGGUCUUGUGCUGCAAUCUUGUGGCAGGUCUUUGUUUACUCAUUUUUCACUUCUAUAACACUUCCUGCAUGAUCUCCAACUGCCCCUUGGGAAGAUAUUACUAAUUGGGAGUCAAUCCUUGCCAGCAAUGAAGUAGAAAACUUCAUUCACAUCUAUUGCAGAAGUUUAAUUGAGACUUUGAGACUGCUUCUAUAGACAGUCAUUUUCUAGCUUGCUGCUAUCUGAGAGCAUGGAUUUCACUGAUGUUUGAAUUAUAAACAGCUCAUGAUUCAAGGAUCCGAGGAGAAGGCUCUAUAAAUAAGUGUUGGGAGUCAUUUCCUUUAAUCAGCUGAUGCAUAGAUGUAGACAACAACGCGUAGUUUGAAGCUUGAGUUCAAAAAGACGAUUGUAUUGGUUUCAGUCAAUAAUACCAAAUCUUGUGGUUUUGUCCAAACAAUAUACUUUAUGACUUUGUAGUGAAUGGUGUAGUGCCUGCUUCUUUCUGUGAUGUAAAUUCAUUUCUUCUGUUUUAUUCAUUGGUUUAUAUUAAUCCUGUAACUGCAUCAUGGUCUGUCAUGUGUUGUUGUUGAUCAAAAUAAUGGUUUGCAGAUUGUACUGUAGGUCGGUAAAUGCAGACUGUAAUUCUGUUUGUGAACAUAUUUUGGAAAUGUAUUGUCUCUUGGUUCACGUCUUCAUGGUUAACCUGCAGAAGUCAUGGUAACAGGAUUUACUCAUGCGUGUUAUCAAACCAGUAUGUACGCAUGUUUUGGUUCUGCAGCAGGUCAUAUGUAGGCUCGGUUUGGUGCAAGCGAUUAGGGAGUGACCUGCACACUCAGAAGUGGCUCCAAUGCAAGAUAAGGUUUCGCUCAGCGUUGGCUAUGAAGACAAAAAUGCAGGAGGAUUCUACUACAUUUUGUUAGCAGCCACGUAGGAGAAAUGCCGGAUUCCACUGCGGUCAUGCCAGUAGUUGUAAUCUACAUCACGUUGUCCUUUUGAAUGAAACAAAGCUUACCGAGGUUAAGGAUGGCGUCCGCAACAGGUUUUCUACAUAGUCGGGAACUUAAUAAGGCCUGGAUGGUGACGCAGGCUGGACUGUUCUUAUCCGGACAUGGCUUGUAGCUUAUCAGAUAUUUUUUGGAACUCUAUUUCUUUCAUUUGGGCUUGACUGUAAUGUAACUUGGAUUAAUGAACCUUUGUAAUAUUCCUUUGAAUAACUGAAACGUUUUCUCUU